GCCAGCAGCCGCGGUAAUACGUAGGGUGCAAGCGUUAAUCGGAAUUACUGGGCGUAAAGCGUGCGCAGGCGGUUCGGAAAGAAAGAUGUGAAAUCCCAGGGCUCAACCUUGGAACUGCAUUUUUAACUCCCGAACUAGAGUGUGUCAGAGGGAGGUGGAAUUCCACGUGUAGCAGUGAAAUGCGUAGAUAUGUGGAGGAACACCGAUGGCGAAGGCAGCCUCCUGGGAUAACACUGACGCUCAUGCACGAAAGCGUGGGGAGCAAACAGGAUUAGAUACCCUGGUAGUCCACGCCCUAAACGAUGUCAACUAGCUGUUGGGUUCUUCGGAGCUUGGUAGCGCAGCUAACGCGUGAAGUUGACCGCCUGGGGAGUACGGUCGCAAGAUUAAAACUCAAAGGAAUUGACGGGGACCCGCACAAGCGGUGGAUGAUGUGGAUUAAUUCGAUGCAACGCGAAAAACCUUACCUACCCUUGACAUGUCCGGAAUCCCGAAGAGAUUUGGGAGUGCUCGAAAGAGAACCGGAACACAGGUGCUGCAUGGCCGUCGUCAGCUCGUGUCGUGAGAUGUUGGGUUAAGUCCCGCAACGAGCGCAACCCUUGUCAUUAGUUGCUACGAAAGGGCACUCUAAUGAGACUGCCGGUGACAAACCGGAGGAAGGUGGGGAUGACGUCAGGUCCUCAUGGCCCUUAUGGGUAGGGCUUCACACGUCAUACAAUGGUCGGGACAGAGGGCUGCCAACCCGCGAGGGGGAGCUAAUCCCAGAAACCCGAUCGUAGUCCGGAUUGCAGUCUGCAACUCGACUGCAUGAAGUCGGAAUCGCUAGUAAUCGCGGAUCAGCAUGUCGCGGUGAAUACGUUCCCGGGUCUUGUACACACCGCCCGU
rnacentral:rRNA from 2 species